GGCAGCAAUGAGGCAUGGAGAGAGGAGCAGGCCACCCAAAGAUUUACAGACAUUUAAAGUUUUAUUCAGACACAGCCGGGCAUGUUAAGUACUUUGGCCCGUUCUAUUAUGGCUUUUCCUUGUAACACGCUGCCUGAUGAAUACGAAGGUGUUUUCGGGGAUAAGAGCUGUCCCGCGGGAUCUGGCAUGAUGUAGAUUCUCCCGCGCAUUGUUUCCAGCGAGACAGGAGUCAUCCAUCUCUCCCAGGAUGAGCAGCGGUAAGCCUCAGCGCGGUCACCAGGUAAUGCUUUAACACCUGAGAUUGGCUGCUCUUCCUUCUAUUCAGCCUUUUUCUUCCAUUUCAUCAGCAGCAUGUUCUAAUUUCCCGUUUCCUCCACUCUCACUGUGUUCACGGAUUAGUCUGCUCCCUCCUGGCAGCCCCCUAAAGCAGCGUUUCUUUUUCCAUCACCACUCUGCUUCGUCUUCCCUCCUCUCUUAAAGCGUCUGAAAAUUGUGUUGCAUAUUUAUUCCUGCAGAAUUAGCAUCACAAACACUCUUGCCAGGCUCUUUGUUAUGCUUCAGGGGGAGGGAGAGUGAGGGGAAGUAGAUUACGCUCUUCGUUUCUCUGAGGCACACUCAAAGCGGGCUUUCUAGGCUUCCUCCUGCUUUUCAGCAGAGCUCGGGGCUUAUGGAGACGCACUCCAUCUACUUGAAGUAAAGACGGCUAUGACUUAAAAUAAUGUUGUUCCUCUUCCACUCCUGUUUAACACAUCUCUCUCACUCUCUCAGCCUCACUUUUUCUUUAAGUCUUAUUCUUCUUCUCGCGCUCAUCUGCAGCCUUAUCCCCGCGCUGACACUCGGUCCACUUUAUAUUUCAGUAAAGCUCCACGUUUGACUCAACAGUUUACAGACGGAUUGUUUAAAGUUGGUUUGAAACUUGUUGGUUGUGCUUAUAGUCAGGGGAGGGUGGUGAAGUCAGACAAAGAGUCAAGUGGAUUUAUAGAAAUAUGAGUUUAUUUACUGUUAUAAUAACUCACUCAUCUGCUGGUGAGCUGGGUAAAUUGAUGUGAAAGUUCACAUUUAGUGCAAAUAUUCCCUUGGACUCAUGCAUGAAGUGAGGAGGAUUUGAUGCUUGAAGGUUGAGGGAUCUGUGACCUCACAUGUUUCCUCUUUUACCACGUUGACCUGAAUAUGGACCUCUUUGUAGCCUACGGCAUUAAACCUAUGCAUGAGCAUUUAAUAGUAACAAUUUACUCUGUUUGUUCAGACAGACUUAAAAACUUUAAAUACUGAAUUAAAACUGUAACGAAUCUAACAUCAAAACGUCUAACUGUUGUCUAAUCUGGUGUCUGCAUACACACUGUAAUCAUGGACUUGAAGCUCUGCAGAGAUCAGACAGGAUCAUGACCCCUGGUGUUUUAGUUUCUAAGUGUAUUAACUUUUAUCUGAAUGUGUCAGUAGUUGUCAUGGUUACAACAGCUGUUAAAACACAAAAACAAUCCUUGCAAAUGCAUCCUGGUUUAAUUCUGAAGAAAAUAUCAUUUAUUCCAUAGCCAAUAUUGACAACAGCUAGUAGAGAGUCAGUUAUUGUUGUUUGCAUCUGAUGGUAUACAAUUUUAUGAUAAAAGAAAUAAUUUCAUGCAUUUGAUAAUAUAAUAACCAUACUUAUUUUACCCAGUUACCUAUUUAAAGUAUUUAUUUAAUUUAUUUUUUAAUUAAAUUCAGGAUUUCAUGACUGAUUUUUCUGUCAGAGCAAUAUACUUCGUUAUUCUACACAUGGUCACAGAAUUUGUAAUAAACACAAUCUGUAUCUGCUUAGUAUAUUUCUGUAAAGUGGAGCUACAGUCAUAGAUCAGUUAGGUGAUCUAGUUAGACUACGGUCCUCGUCCCACUCCCUGUCAGUAGUCAGUGAUAUGCUCCCCUUAAGCUAAUUACUACUGGACCAUCUCCUGGGUUGACUUGUAAUGCCACUGACCAAAAUAAUCACCAGACAAGUUAGCAAGAAGCUAACGUGCUGUAUGUUGAACAGUAACAUCACCAACAACUUUACAGCGCUGUACAUUUCAUAGUUAGGAUACAACAGCUCUGUCUUAAUUACAUCCCCUUUGUCUUCUGUUAAGGUUUUGUUUCACUGAGCAGCUUCCUUCAAAGCAUUUUUGCUGUUCAGUUUUGUUGUCAAAGCUUAAUAUGUGAUUUAAUGGGCAUGCUCAGAAGGUUUGGGCUGAUUUCAGGCAGAUAUUUGUGGUUGGGUUACUGUGUUAUCUGGGUACAUUUAGGGUUAUCUAGAGUUUUCCCUGUUUUUAUUGUGUGUUACUAAGCUUCAUAUGCUACGCUGUUGGCUUCUUUAGGUGUCUGCUGGGUUCUUACAUUUGAACCAUCAGUUUUAGCUGAUUUUUUCUUGGGUUUCUGUUUUUCUUUCUUUUUUUCUGCUUUGUUUCAUUUAUACACAUUAUCAAAGCAUGUUUUUUUUUAAGUGCUAUACUACCAGAGUUAUAAUUACUAUUAUUAAUUUGAAAAGAUAAUAAUAAACUGACUUUUUGAAUGACGUGUUAAAUCACUCACUGAUGAAGCAGCCUGCAGUGUCUGCAGAUGCUAUUUGUUUGUGAGUGCAGACAUUGACUGAUGCAAACAGUUGGAUCGUGUGUAAACUGAAGGGGCCUGAUAUAUCAAUUGGUCUUUCUCUGGCCAUACUAGCUGUAGAGAGAUGAAUAAAUAUAUCAAACUCUACAGUCUUUAAUUUAUUCUGUAUAAGGUCUUAAAACAUAGUCUGUGUUUUCUGGAGACUCUCUGUACAUGUGUUCACAAUGUUUGACAUGGCAGACUAAUGAACCCACUGGUCAGGCAUGCUCAUGUGGGUGUUUCUGACUGUUUCUGCAAUGCUGUGUGAACACAGAAAUAUUUAAAACUCUUCUGCUGUGGACAGGAUUUUAGUCUUUUUCUUUUUUAACCAUUGAGGAAAUAGACAACAGGUGUAGUUAUUUUAGUUUGUAUUUAUAGAGUAAAUCAGUGCAGCGUAGUCGUAACACUGAGUCACUUAGAGUAGUGUCCAGACUCGCAAUAGCUCAUUUUAUAGGUUGUUGUGUUUGAAAAUGUUCAUGUGAGUAAAUGAAUUGAUAUCCUGUUUCAUGUAACCGUGAAGUUUGACUUGAGCAUGAACAUGAACAAACAAACAAAAAACAAUAUUUAGUCUUUGACAAAGUCUCAUAAAUAAGUGGGUUAUCUUAAAAUCAGGGACCUCUUCUGUGCAGGUCAAUACUGUAACACAUGAUACAUCUCUGCAGUCCCUAGGAGAAAUUUACAUCCAUCUGGUUUAUGUUUAUUGUUUUGUUGUACAGAACAUGACCAUUACGGACCAUCUCCCCCUCAAAUACCUGCUAGUUCUGCUGCUGGAAGAGUUUAUACACAGUCACAGGCUCUGCACAGACACAAAGAACUACUCUCUGGUAAAAUGGACCCACUGUUAAUGAUUCCUGUCCUGUUAGAUGCACACCUGUUAAUGCUUAUUUUUUGUUGAUAAUAUCCUAAUAAAUCUCAGUCCAGUACUCUGUCACACUCUCAUUCUGCAGUAAACACAGCUGUAACCUUCAACUUCUCUUGGUGGAAGCAAACAACCAUCAAGUUUUACUCAUAUUUCAUUUAGCUUUAAUGCUAAAUGAAGUAGGAUUUCUAGAUUUUUAUUUAGCCAACAAACAAAUGUAACGGUUUAAACUGGGACAAGCUUGAGCCAAUACAGUAGGAAAACACUGUUUGCACAUGACCCAGGUUUUUGAUAUGGUCCCUGAUCAAAGGCUAAAAAUAGUCAAUCCAAAACCAAAAUGAAGAUAAAUACUGAUUGUUUUUGUGGUAACUAUAACCUCAUUUCUGUUCCUCUAUGUUUGAAAUCUGUUUGCAUGAAAACCAGCAUUUUUAGGAAUUGUGAAAUGUUUUCAAAACAUAGUUGUUCUUUUGUGUGUAGGAAUAUUGCAGGAUAUCACAUUAAAACUUAAAAAAAGAACUCUGGCAGUUUAAAAAGAAACUUUAAUCGUGUAAACUUGUCAGUGAUGCAAUAAUGAAGAUUCACUGUUCAGCUAUUAGACACAGUGACGUAUUACUAGAGGAUUGUAACAUCAUAACCACCAGAGAUGAACUUUAAAAGAAAAGAAAAAAAAAGUUUACAGAUACAUUUCCCCGACUGAAACAUUUUUACAUUAGCAAGACAAAUGUCAUACAACGUUUUAAACCUAUUAUUCUUAUUUAUAGUGUGCAGUAUUUGGUUUAAUUGAUCAUAUGCAGACAGUGUGCUUAAAAAGGAGGAGAUAAAAGCAUCACAGCUGAGUUUGGUAAAAGAAAAGUCCAUGUUUAGCUGCUUCAAACCUAAACCUGUUUACUGGACCCCCAAAUGAGAGAGCUUUAAGGUGGACUGGACCCUCCUGAGGGAGGCUUUACCUGGACCGGACUAACCUGAGGGAGCUCUUAGGAGGACUGGACAAACUUUGGAGAGCUUCGAGGUAAACUAUACCCUUGUGAAGGAGCCUUUACCUGGACUGAAAAAAAAAUUAAAAAACUGAGGGAGUUCUUAGAAGGACUGGACACUUCUGGAGGAGAUUUAAGGUGGACAAGACUUUCCUGUGGGGGCUUUAAGAUGGACUAGACACACCUGAAGGGAGCUUUAAUGUGGACUGGAUCCAUCUCAGGGAGUUGUGAUACAGAACAGGCCAGCCUGCAGAAGCUGUGAUGUAGAUUGGACCCACCUGAGUGAGCCAAAGGUGAGCUGGUGCCACCUGAGGAAACUUUGACAUAGACUGGACCCACCAGGGGAAGCUUGGCAUUUAACUGGACCAAUCUGAAGGAGCUUUGUCAUGGAUUGGACAAACUCAAUAAAGCUUUGACCAAGACUGGAAUCACCUAUAGAUAACAUAAGGUUGACUGGACUCUCCUGAAGAGGCGUUAAGAUGGUCUGGACACACCUGAUGGAGACUUGAGAAGGACCAUCAACCGAAGGGAGGUUUAAGGAGGAUUGUACCCACCUAUGAGAGAUUUAAGGUCAACUGCACCAACUUUAGGAAGCAUUUAGGUGGUUUGGAUCUUCCUGAAGGAGCUUUGACGAGAGUUUUAUGUGUAUUCUGGGAAACUUUAGAGGAGCUGUGUAAGCAGUCUUGUGGCUUUACAUGCCAGCUCAUCAUGUGACUUCCCUUAGAGGCAGUAUUUUUGGAAGUACACUGUUUAGAUUUAUGCACAGUGGAUGGUUGGACCCAAUUUUUUACUAUUAUUAGAACCUCAAUGACAAGUAUCUGAACCUUUAUUAAAGUAAAGAUUUUGCAGACUUGUAUCAACUCUGAUUCCCACAUUGUUUGUUAAUCCUGUAGUCUUCUACAGAGAUCACAACCGAUCAGUCGAUGAAUCAUGAUUUCUGUUAGGACCAGUUUCAAAGCCAGAAGAAAUCCAGGAACUAUCCAGGAAUUUGUGUCUUUGCAGUGUGUCAGCAAGUGUGCUUUUGGUGUGUGUGUGAAUGUGUAUGUAUGUGUGCGUCUGCACCAACAUAAGUCUGUCCUUUGAGUCUGCAGGAAACCACAGGGGAGAGCUUGCAGCCCACCAGGCUAAAUGAUCCUGACAGUGCUGAGGCCCCAGGGUCAGAGGGGUCUGUCCCAAGACACGCACAGUCUCAAGCAGAGCCCCCCCUACUCACUCCCUCCACCUCCGUCUAAUCGGCAUGCUGCAGGCAUCCUAAGCUCUGUCUAUACCUCCAUCCUUCCUCAUCAGCCUCCAGUCAUCCUGGUAAACUCCUCACCUGACCCUGAUUUACCCCCGCCCUGCUUGUCUCGUGUUCUCCGCAGAAGCAGUGAGGGGGUCAGGUUUCCCUUUUCUUUAUGCUCCAUUUCACCCUCUUCAGGUGGACAGUGAUGAUGAUCAGGAUGAUGUGAUGGGAAGUCUUCUUGGUUGUUGCUCGAUUUCUUAUUUCUUCUUGGUCUUUAGAAAACUAACUGUAAUCGAAUUAUGUUUUUUUACACCUAUUUUGGCAGUUUUCAUGUUUGACUGCACCUGCCAUCAUCAUACAUAUCAGCCUAUUGGUGUGCAAAUCCGGAUAGCUGUAUAUGUGCAGGUGUGUGGCCCUGAUUUUUAACCCUGCUAAGUGUUGUUUUGGGAAACAUUUCAAAGUUGUCUAUAACCACCACUGAAAAUUGGCUACAAAGUCAGGGUUUCUUUCUCAACUAUCUGGAGACAGACAUAGUCAGUCAUCCGGUUUUCCACCACCUCUGCCCUCUAUCAAUGAAUGUCAGGGGUCUUUUUUACCUUUAUAGUCUGAGCUUCAAGACCAAAGUCCCAGACUUCUUUCACAACUUCUGUGGGGAAUGUUUAAAUCUGUGCUCUUUAUGGUGCCUCGAAACCUUCAAACGCCAAGCUACUGUGGCCAGCAAGGUCAGAUGAUCUGCAAUCAUUUGACUGGUUAACAUGCGGAGAAAACACUGCACAUGUUCAGUCAGUGCACAUUGAGAUAACACAUGCAUGAGUCCCAUUUAACCAAAGCUUGUUAGCACCACUUUUCUCUAACUUUGACCUUUUUUCAUGCAGUAAGUUCUAUUGCAGGUAUGGCUGUGUUCUGAGAGAGCUUCCUGACCUUCCCCAUGCGUAUGUGGGAUGCCAAACUCUUUAAUAAUUAUAAUAAAGAUAAUAAUUAUAAUACAUGUUAUUUAUAUUGCGCUUUACAGCUGAUAAAACAGAUCUCAAAGUGCAUACAGUGAAAGGCAAGCUGCUUUCCAAAAUUUAAUUUGUUAUAAUAGAUUUCUAUGUCAAAGGGAUGUAAACCACAUCUGUAAAAUAACAGAAAAAUGCUUCAGGAGUGAAAGUAAUCACUUUCACUCCUGAAGUUAACUGUUUAUUAAAAAUAGUAAGAAAAAGAGGUGUCUUAAAACACCAAGAUGCAUUUUUAUAUUUUAAAGUGGUGACAUUAGGUCUUAAUGUCUGAAAAAUAAUUCUUUCUUCUUCUUUUUGUUUUUUUUUUAACUAGAAUUUUAUCCGGCUUAGAAAUCCCGGUCAGAGCUCACUGAGGGUGGAUAGAGAUUUUGUAAGACUGGGACUUUCUGUUGCGUUUAUUCAGAGUUCAACUUAAAUCUUGUCAAAGUCAAAUAAAUAAAACACUCAUGGAAGAGCAUCUCUGAAGCUCUGUGCUCAACAUGUGGUCUGACACUGGUUUGCGUUGUCCGUGCUGAAACAGCUGUUGAAAUAACAGUUGGUGGUUUCAGUGGGAGUUUCUUACUGGAACUGUUUGUGGGCGGCUGAAUACCAUCAGUGCCCACAGCUUUUGGUUUGGGUUUCUAAACAAACAAGUUUACAUAAAGCUUCAAACCUCACAGCUGCACCAGGAAACGACACACAGUCACUGCUGUGUGUACCUAUAAACCAAAAUAAGAAUGAGCUUACCUUUCUGUCUGGGGUUUGAUGUAACAAAGACUCUGUGUGCAUGUCGUUGAGGAACCUUGAAUGUUUGUGAGGCAGUAGUUGAACUUUUGAUGCUGGGUGUAACAUCUUUACUCGUAUGAAUGGGAAGAGAGAAAAAAAACACAGGAAUUUCAGCAGAGUCAUCCUCCUGUAAAUUCCCCUGAUGCAAUCAUCAGAUAUGUAUGUCAUUACGGAACUUUCUGUCACUUUCCAGGAAUCCCUUGGACAAUGAAAUAUUUUGCAGCAGCAAAUCUUCAACAGGGAUCCUCUAAAAACAGGACAGAAACCUCAUCUAGUUCACAGCAGUGAGCUGGGAGGAGAAGAGGGGGUUUAGAGACAUACAAACCAUGUUUGAACUGAUAAUGAGGUAAAUAACUCAAAGGAUAGUUCAUUAAGAGAGCACAGUGACAGUAUAAUCAGAAAUAACAUGUAUAUUGCAAGAUUAUCUUUUUUCAUUUAUCCUUUAGGCUCUAUGACUUUAUUUUGAAAGGACAGGGCAGCAGACGGAGCAGGAAACAGGGAGUGACAUAUAGGAAAAGGCUGCAGGCUGGAAAGAAACCUGGGAAAUCCACUUGAGAAUCAUGACCCCUGUGCAAUGGAUUCAUGCUUAGACUGCUUGACUAUUGAUGCCUCGCUACAGGGACAUUUUUAUUGUUUCUAUUUUAUUUUGCCAGUUUAAAAUUCAAAACUGGGUUUAAACAUUUGGAAUUGUUACGUUCUGUAUCAUCAGACAGUUUUUAAAUAUCCAACCUGAGUUGUUUGGUUUGUCUUGGGAUUUUGAAGUUAUAUCACAAUCCAUACCAAUAAAGUUGACUGACAAUCAUAGUUUAAAAGUCCAGAAGUGAUCAAUCAAGCUCAAAUAACUUUUCCUGUCAAUAGUUAUGCAUGUAUCUAAAGAAAGUUUAAGUUAAAGUAUCUACAGAAAGAAACUCAUCCUGCCUGAUAACUUCCUCCUCACUUCCUCCUUACUCUAAAAAGUGUAACUGGGCAAAAUUAAUAUUUACAAAUGAAAUACUGAUAACCUAGAAAAAUGACUGUGUACAGUUUGGGAAAUUAUUAUGUUAAUCUAAUCAAUUUUGAAUCAUUUAUCAGUUGCAUUUUUCUUAUUUUUAUUGUAAUAAUAUGAGCUGAAAAUCACAGUAUAAUUCACUUAUAAUUUAUCAGUUAAAUCAACAAUGUUCAAAAAUAAAUAAAUGCCACUCAGUGGAAACUAUUUGGUUUUAAUCCCCGUACACUUCAAAUCUAACCAAUCAUAUGAAGUGCCAUCUGUUGCCUUCAUUUUUUUUAAGUAGACAAUGGUCAGACUUUUCUGAGUGUACCAAACUUCACCGGCAGAGCUCUGAACAGAGAGACUUCAAGGUGAGAGAUGAAUUUUCACUCAGCUCUUUCACAGUCUGAUCCAAACACACUCUAAAAUUCAGUGUAAAGAAACAGCCAAUCUAUCGGUGUUGAGCUCGUCAUGUUAUAUAGGUCAUAGUCCAAGAGUAAUUGGUAAACAUGGUCUCAGAGUGUUUCCUUGUUCUCCGUGUGUAAAGAGUCUGAGUGCACACUGUGUGUAUUUGCCUGUGUAUUUGCCUGGAAAACAAAUGUCCAUUAUCUUGAGACAGCUCAUGCAAAAGUUAAGGAAAGCAGCCGCCCUGAAGUUGAGUUGUUGUUAGUUUGAGCUUAACAGACUGAAGUGGGGGAGUCAUGUGACAACCUGCAGAGUGGAGAAGAUAAAAACGAGUCAGUUUCUACUGAUGAAGCACAACUCAGAAGUGUUAAACAGGAACAGACAGCUACAGUGCUGCACAGGCUUAAAACAAUGUAAUUCCAGAGGCAAAGUUUUUUCUGAAAUAUAUGCGAUAUGAUAUUUCAGUCUCCUUCAGCAGGUUAAAUGUAAAGGUAAAUAAAUGUUUGUCGAUUAAUACAAAUACUUUCCCUCCUUGUGCUGCAUGUUUCAGCACAGUUCACACAGUCUUAUAUGUCUCUGUGGUCUUUCCAUACAUGAAAACUUCAUUUUCUGCUCAGUUAUUUUAUUUUUGUGCACAAGAAAUGACUUACAUUAUUACCAAUAAAAACACACACCUACAGUAUUUGUUGUUGCACACAAAACCUGGAGAAAAAUCUGUGCUGUACAAACAGGGCUGAAAUGUUCCUCUAUCUGAUGUUCUCUAUAACCUGUGGCCACCUUCAGUUUUCAUGCACUUGUUUCAUUUCUAUUGUAACGUGCAUUCAAACAGGCAGCCCUCUCUCCACACACACACCACCAUCUAUACAGACCCGUCUGUGCAAACAGGGCGAGACGACUCUUAAUGUAGCGUGAAGCCUGACAGCCAAACAUCAGCGAGGUCACAAACAGCAGCUAAAGCAAUUUCCUGCGAGUGCUCGGCAGCUCCUUUGAAUAGCUCAUUCACAGACAUGAUUUGGAUGCAAAUAAAAGCUAACAAUGCUCAGUGUGUUUGUGGAGGGGCUGCUGGAUGGAAAACAACUUUUUAAAUACUCUUUUUUUUUUUUUUUUUUUUUUUUUACUUUAUGUGCUUGUAAAAGAGAUUAUAAACUUUAAUGUCCACCAAACGACAAAGCUGUAGGGAGAAAAUCUGACAGAAACGUGCUUAAAAACAGCCGACAGAAGAAAUAAUGGACAGAAUAAAUGACCCAUACUGUUUUAAAUGAGCAGACUAAAGCAACAAAGUGAAGAUAAAUCAGUCAGAGCGGCUCCCUGAUCAUUAUGGAUCUGCAAAUAUUUGAAAAUGACUGUACACAAACAGAGUUCAAUAGAUGUUAAACAUGUUCACUUAUGGGCUGUGAAACAUUUUUUUUAAACUUCAAAUAGCAGUGUUUUCUCAUUGUUGAUUUGAGAACACAAUUAUCAAUAAAUAUCAAAUGGUACAUCAGUUUCAGUAGACUGUGAUUCUUUUUGUAAGCCAAGAAGAGUUGAAAUAAAAGAUUUAUAAGAUAGAAAAAUAUAUAUUCUAUAUUUGUGGAUUAAAGGUGUAAUUCACCUUAUCUUUCAAAAUAUUGUUAAAAAAUCAUGCUAAUUUGUAAAUAGGCUGAUAGAACUGUGCUGUUAGUAACUGAGCUGUAAGUCUCUCAAUUUUAAGGAAAAUGCAACAUCAAGUAACUUAAACAGGACCGAUCAACGAUGCAGCCCCAGCUAGGCCAGUAUGUCAAACAAUUUUUUACAAUAGAUUAUGAUCCUGCUAUAGGAUGUUCCAGCGUAAAAUUAAGUCAGAGUCAAACACACCGUAACACCGAGUUAACACCCCGUCCAGAGAUAAAUAUUGCAGACGACUUGCUUCUCUAGUUAUACCAACUUUAGUAAUGACCGCAGAUAGUAAUACAACUGCUUGGGGAUGCGCAGCUAAAGGAAGAACAUUUAUGAUCAUUUCCUCAUGGAAAUGCAAUCAGACUGAGACACUAAGGCAGAAGAACUACUGUGUCUGCAGUGCAAAUUGAUUAAUAUGAUGAUUAUUACUCCAAGGAAAUGAAAAAGUAAUGAUCAGAAAUGUUCGUCUUUGAGCUGCGCACCCCAGCUGCAUUAGGCAAACUCACCCAGAGGUCUCCAUACAAACAAGCGGCUGCUGGAAGAAAGGAGGUGAGUUGUGUUUAGUCUCUUUGCUAAAGAAAUCAGGCAAAGUUAAAAAGAUAUUUGGUGGCUAGUACUAUGACUAGGACCCUAUAUGUACUGUUGAUGAAGGUAGGUGCUGUUCUGAGCAUUAUUUGUGACUAUAGAGUGGCUUUUUGGUUGAGCAUGUGGAUCUGCUGUCAUUACUAAAGUUGGUAUAACUAGAGAAGCAAGCAGUCGGCAACAUUCGUCUCUCGACAGGGUGUCUAACUCGGUGUAACCGUGUGUUUGACCCUAACUUAAUUUUACGCCGGAAAAUCCCAUGGAACAUCACCAUGCUAUAUUGACAGUCGAUUGUGAUAGUGGACCAAGAACCACAGGAUGUGUUAGGCUCAAGAGAGUGAUUUUUAUCUUCACUGUGGUUACAUGGAUGAGUGUGUUUAGUGAGGGCCAAGAGAUUAAUGGUAUGUAUGUGUGUGUGUAAGAGAAAGAGAGAUUGUCUACCCAAGACAAAAACACAGACCUAAUCUCUUUAUGAUUGGUGUCCAUGUGGAUCGAGGAUGACGGUGAAGGAUCACAGGAGCUUCUACGAGCUACAAAUCCAAGCUGUCCGAUAUUCCACCUCCAUACAGCUGGUUUAUGGCAGCCUUCAGCCUCUACCUCUGCACAUGGUGUCUCGCUAACAGCUUAUCUUUUACUACUGUGUGCCCAGCAUGCAGCAUUCUUGAUUUUAUACACCUCACAACAUGAUUAAGAAACGACAUCACCUGACAUUUAGGAAUAGCAUGCUUGAGCAGAGAGUCCAUAAAGGACUGCAAUGGAGAGGAGACUCUUAAGAUCAUCAGUGGCGUGGCUGCCUCAGCUCCCCCACAGUGAUUGUGAUUUGACACAUUACCUGACUCUUCAUCAGCAGACUGGCCAGGAAAGCUCAGUUUGUCAGUGAGCUACGGUAGGCUGUUGAUGAGCUGUACCUGGAUGUUUAGGUGAUUUCAUGUUAUUGUUGCAGAGAAAAGCUAUUGCCCAGAAACAUCCAGCAGGUGAUCCAAAUCAAGGGUUUCGUGUCUGAGUUUCAGGAUAAAUCUUGCAAGCAUCAAGUACAGCACAAAAAAAACCCUUUACAACCAUGGUAACAUUAAUUCAAUCAAAGAUUGCACUUAAAUAUAUUGGAGAAUAUGUGCAUUAUAUGACAGUUAAUUUUUAACUUGGAUCCAGUCAGAGGGGGAAAUGUUCACCUCUGUCUUUAAUCCCUUAUACAGUCCAUGAUAACAGGAGUUUAAUAUGAGGCUUCUUUAAAGCGACAGCAGAGACUUGAUUCAAAUAAAAUCACUCCUGAGAUGGAUCCUGUGCAGGGCCUACAGCAAAAUAAUGUUUACACCCGCUUAACAACAUAUUUCAGCACAGUUAUGAAUCCAGCUGAUGAUAAAACACCAUCAUUUGCAUCGCAGCAUUUAAUACAGGUAUAAUACAACAUGCAGUGCAAGCCUGAGGCAGACAUUUAUAGCAUGUCAGCUAAGCUCCCUCCGGGCCUGUAACUGUUGAGGAACUCAUCCUGAAGCUUUUAACUAUCAUUAUGUUUAAUAUGCACACCUUGAUACUUUGCCAGCUUUAUUUAGAUAAGCUUCAAACGGCCUCAGAGCACAACAAAGUUGUCAGUAAUGUUGGAGAAACAUUCACUUUAGUGGAUCUGAGCGCACUUUGAAGCAGCACUGCCGCUAAGCGAGAGCGAAGAGAUCAGAGCUGAAAUUAAAGGCAACAGCAGAUCUUCGAAGGCUGUCUUCACUUUGUUUGUUUCUCCUCUUCCCUGCACACUUCAUUAAUCUCUCACUGAAUUCAGACCGGAGUUUGUUAAAUAUCACUCGACAUUUAUUUAGGUUUCACAUUACUUCCUGAGCUACACUGAUCAGGCCGUUUUCAGGUCUGUCUGUGCUAUUAGGCUUUUUUUCCUCAAAGAUGAUCAGGAGUCAGGAAGUAAAACAAGAGUUAAGAAAACCUCAUUCAAAACCAGUUAUAUUUCCUUUUUAAUGAGAAUAAGAAGACUUCAGGGCCCUAUUAAAACUAUCUAAAACAUGCAGUGGUAUAAGCAGGUGUUACUAUUUACACAGCAGAUUUCAACCUUUGCUGGGGCUGGUAGAUUGAACUAUGAGAACCAGUCUGCACACACAGUGGAGCUUCAUGUGCAGCUGAAAGUUUGACCUCUGCUUGGAUCACUGCUGUCAAUGGGAAACAAAGGGAUUUCUAGUGUUGUUGAAGGUCACACUUACAGCUAGCUCAAGUUUCAUCCACACAGUUUAAAAUGACGAGUUCAUGUUCAUUUUGUUUUAGCUGCACCUAAAGUAUCCAUCAGCAGAGCCUCAUAGACCUUCAUUCCUAAUCCUCAAUCACUAAAACUUUAAAGUUUUAUCAAAUUCUACUGUAGAAUCACAGACAGAAAUUUAGUAUAGAAAACCAAGAAAAUUAUUUUUCAGUGUGUCUCACCAAUCAGUCAUGGUGAUAAAUCUGAAACACUGAACAAAGACAAUCUCAAAAAAGCUGUACCUCUCUGAAACCAAACAAGGUGUGAUUGGUCCUGGUUUACACAUGAAACUACUUAAAAUCCUCCGUAAAGAGCUGCUUCAUCAGUACCCCUUAUUACAUCUACUGGAAGACAGAAGUGCGUAGCAAUGGGCGAUGUACAUAUGUCUAAGUUUGACUGUCACAACACAACAUUUAGUAACUCUUGACACCUCCUCGGGUCCAUUUAGAAAGUGGGCGGUGUUUCUGUAAUUUUAGCAGGAGUUACGCUCACAUUCUUGUUCAUGGAUUGGGAAAUGAGCUGCUCCAUUCACCAAAGUGUUAGCCUGUUUAGUGUACAUGUUCAUUUUAGCACGUUCACGCACAUCACUGGGGAUCUCAUCAGCAAAGUUUUUUUUUUUUUUUUCACAGACUUACAGUUUGAUAUUUCACCAUCCAAAGUAGCUCCAUGGGUGCACAGUUACACCUGGCACCUUGUCACAGACUUAGAAUCUCAAAUCUCAGUGUUUAUGAUCGUACCAGUUUGGUAUUUGUUCUUCAUCAAGUAUUUCUCAAACUUUUAACAGUUUGUAAACUCAGUUAAAUAUUAUAAACUGUCAGAGACAGGGGCAGGAUUGAACUGAAUUUACUCUAUUCCCUUCUAUCCUGAAGCUGUUUGCUCGCAAGAACAAACACAUCUGGAAAAUUUGGGUUUUUAAUUCCAUUUAUUAUAAAAUUUGUUGAAAAGAAACUUAAUAAUCCUGUGUCCUCUUGUCUUGGUUUCUUACACAAGUAGGUAGCUGUAUUUGAUAAAUAACAAUCACUCUGAGGUCGCUUGAAGUAUCCUGCUCUAGUCCAAUGUUAUACUCCAGCUAACACUCUAUUUCAAAGCAGAGUCCCCUCCUGACUCAGGACCUGCUGUUUUGGUUCCAGGUGUCUUUGAAGAAUCUCAGGUUGAGGUGUCCACUUCCUGGAUCCUUCAAAGAGGACUGCUGCUCAGCGUCACUCUCUCCUUAAUGAAUAUCUGAACAUCACAGAGCCUUCCCAGCACCAGGAGCAGGUGUGUGGCGAGGAGGCCGGGAGUCCCUGCUCUCCUGAAAAACUGUUUCAUCAAAUGUCAGAGGACUGUGAACAUCUGUCCGCCUCCAUCAGCGGGGCCUGGUGUUCUUUGAGGUUCCUGUGCUUCUGCAGAACUCAUCUAUUCGCUCAGACCUGCAGACAGCGACAGGAGCGUCCUCUCUGCACACUCUCUGCUCUAAUAGAGUAAACAGCAGCGGAUAUCUGACGAAUAUUUGAGUCUGUUUACAUGCAGCAUCAAAAGUAAACUACAACAUGUCCAAAAAGUUAGGAAUCACAGGGAAUGGAACAGUUUCCAGCGCUGCACGUGGGACCUGAACACAGGUUUGCAGCAGGAGAUGAGAAACCCUGAAGCCUCACUUUGCUCAGCUGUUUGACAGCCGUUAUGAGGAGAAGGCCGUGAACAUAUGGACCUAUUUAUCCAUCUGAAUCCAAACACUUCUGACACUGUUUAACAUCAUCUAUUGGCUCGUUCUGCACUUCUUAAACUGACAUGAGGAACGGCUGUACCAAUAACGAUCAAAUCAGAGCAAAAUUAACACUAUUCCAACAUUUAUUGACUCAAGAUUACUCUGCUAAUCACUGCUUUACUUAGAGUCAGAGAAACAGCUUUUCAUCUUCAACAUAUGGAGAAAGUGAAGUAUGACGGAUGACAUGAAUGUUAUCUUAGUAGUUAGCAAGAAAUGUCAAAAAAAUUAAGCUUUAUUGGUGUCUCUUCUUAUAGUAAGUACAGAAAAAAUGUGAUUAAACUUUUUAAAGAUUUAAAUGAUACUGGAAGCUUACCUAAGCAAAAAACAAAGAGAUUUAAUGGCAUUGUUUGCCAUGCAGUGCACAGAGUGAGAGCCAAUCAGCUCCUCUGGACUGGUUGAAAGGAGUUCUGAUAUGUUGGAAAUUUUGAUUAGCCAAUAGCGUCCUCUCAGGCAAGAUUUAUUUGACCAACUUUAGAGGCCGUAUAACCAAACAGACAAUUGAAAAAAUGCUCAUAGUUACAAGUUUUUAAGAAAGUUUGAAGAGAAUUGUGAAAUUUUCUAAGGCCUGUCCACACAGUUGCUGAUAGUUUUGUAAACCUUUUUUUUAUAUGUUUUGGCUUCCUAUCCAAACAUAAACGUUGUUUGCAUGGAGGUUGAAAAUGGAGGUUUCUUUUUAGUCAUUUAGUGUAUAGAAAAUAUGAAAAUGAUAGUAAAUCUUGGUUUUCUUGUUCAUGCUGAUUGUCAUGCCAGUGUGCCAAGAUGGCAGGCUGCUGGUUUGUCUAAAAUAGAACACACACUACAAGAUAACUACACCAAUUUUGGGCCUAAUUCUUUUCUUCCAAGAAAGGUCAGCAAAACUCUGAUUAUCACAUGGUGGUAAAGAUUAUCUUGACAGAUUAUUUUGCAGUGUGAGGUGCCUUAAGGGAUUUUUCUACUCUCUAAUCUGUGUGACAGACUGCGCUUGUUGAUACACGUAGACAACACCAGUGUUAAAAACAUAUGCUGUUUUCGGCGGGAGAGUCGCUGUGAUGACACUCAGUUCAAAUAGCGAAUCCCCCAGGUGAGCUACACAAUCUUUGUACGCACAUAGGCUGUGUCAAUCAUAGAAAACAUGAACCCCUUAAUAACUUUUUAAAAUGGAGCUGCACAGAAAAAAAGGACUUGAGCACAAACCAGUCUCACAGUAACUACAUGUCAACAUCGUAACCAGGGGGGAGAAAAAUUUAUAUUCUGUGUCAUAAAUUUCUAAAGUUUGUCCACAACUCUAUAGGGAUUGCUGGAGGAGGCGGGAUUUAUGACCUAUACUGCGGUCCAUCACCAGAGGGUGCUGUUCUCGCAGUGGCUCCACCAAGCUAGGAGGCAGACGGCGUCCAUUCUAUAUACAGUCUAUGGUUAAAACAGUCCAGUAAAAUAUAUCACAGCUGAAAUGACAAGAAGAGGAGUUAAAUAUCAUAAAUAAUAAUUGCUUCCUUAAUGUAAGUGCCAGAAAGUUAAGCAGCUAUUAGUGGUAAGCUCCAUUCAAAAUCAUGAUAUUUAAUGAGAAACUACUAAUUUAUCAGUUAUGAGAGUCAGGACUCAAGUCGCUGGUGAAAAGGGUCCAUUUGUGUGUAGUGUGCUGUGUUUACCAUCUUGUUGCACAUGACACACAACAGGAACAAAACUAAGACAUCUUACCUCAUGUUUGUAAUAUGUGUUUCAUUGACUGUGUGUAUAAUUUUAUACGAUAUGCCAGCAUCAGGAGGAUAUAUGGUGACUUUACACUCAUUUUGGGGCCUUUUCUUUAGAAAUAUGAUGAUGCAUUGCCCCUGUAAAUGUCUGUGCAUGUCCCUGCCUUUAACAGUAGGACUGUGGGGAGUGCUGGUGACUCCUUUUAACUGGAUCUAACUGUCGGCUCAGCCUGCAUGUAAAGUUCAUCCAGUCCUCAGAGGAGCAGAGAGCUGCCAUAAAGCCUGAGCAGCUUUACCACCAGAGCCUCUGUCCUCCAUCUGUGUGACCUCAGAGCUCAGACUGAGGAAAAACAACAAUAAACCAACAAUCCUCCCUCUGUUAACAGUCAUCUGUGAAGGUCAUGAUGCUGCUUUAAUCCUAUUGGCUCCAUCCAUCCAUCCAGCAGUGCCCGGCUGGCCUGACUCUGCCUCUGUCUGUCCAUCCCUCAGGCUGGCUCCUGCUCUGUCCUUGGAUGGUGUGUUCACACUGCACAGCUAGUGUGAGCACAGCAUCCACACAUGCACUGACACACAUGCACACAGUGACACAUGUGCACAUGCAACGCACACGCUCAGAUCAGUCAUGGCCCCGGGGAGCCAGAGGUGCGAGCCAGAGGCGUUUCUAUCUCGUACAGCUCUAACAGCCACUGUGUUUAUUCCUGGACCAGUUUAACACCUCCUGCUUCCCUCUCCCCAUCCACCCAUCCACUCAUCCAUCCACAGCCCACUGGGAGAGAGAACGCAGGAGGGUGGUGGUGUGAAAACACUGAGCAUGCUCUAUGACACAUAUGCCUGCCUGUGUCAUCCUGUGCGUGCGUGUGUGCGUGCGUGCGUGCGUGCGUGUGAGAGAGAGAGAGAGCUUUCAAAGGAUCUGAGCUGGGGUUUGAUUUCCUCUCACCAAACCCUCCAACAUCACUGGGUGCUAUUCUUAUCUCAGCAGUUGGGAUGAAGGAAGAUUGCUCGCCAUUUGUCCCUCCUGAUUGGACGUCAGGCAGGAUAAACCCUCCUAUCACCGCCUCAGGCCUGGCUAAGCACCCUUAGACUCAGACUGUGUCGCUGGAUAAAGUGAUAUGUGCUCCAGCAAGCAAAGCUAACACUGAUACUCCAGUUUGUGAAGCAUGAAUACAAUACCUUUGACCGGAAUUCAAUUUAGAGGGGAUUUCUUUCAGUGAUAGUUCAAAUGAAAGGAAUUCUGUGUAUUACUAUUGCAGUGUGAUGGAUGGCUUCACCACCCUCUUGCAGUCUUGGUCAUUUACAGUGUCUUACAUCACGUGAAGUGGUAAUCUGCUCUGUGCUAUAACCAAGCAAAAUGUGACAUUCAUUUUGGAAAUCAUGGACGCUGCACUCUCCCCAUUGUUGAGAGAAGAAGGAUCAGCCAGCUUGGUAUCAGCUUUCAGGUCAGAGCCAGCAUCCCUUAUGGUUUGGGGAUCAUCAGAGUUGAAGGCUCCAUUAAUGCUGAACAACGUUUACAUAUUUAGGAACAUCUGCUGCCAUUCAGACAAUGAUAUUUUUUCAGGGAAGACCUUCAUAUUUUAGCAAGACCAUGACAAACCACAUUCCGACAACAGCAUGGCGCUGUAGAUGAAGAGUCCUGCUGAUAAACUGGUCCUAACUGGUCCAGGUGACCCACUGAUAAAAUUUGGAGCAUCAAGACACAAAAGUACCUUUUUUUAAAUGAAUUAAUUACUUUUUUAAAAUAUGUUAUGUAUUAUUUUUUUUUCACUUUCAACAUCUCUUACAUGUGUUUUCUAUUGUUUACAACUAGGUAAAGGCUUUAAAUAACAUGUAAACAAUUUCAUUAUUUUUUGACACAUGACAAAUGAGACUACAGACUGUUAAAUUUGCCUUCGGGGAUAAAUCACGUUAUUCUUAUUCUUACACUCUGUUUUCACACAACAUUUUAACUUUGAAUUUAAGGUUAUAUUUUCUAGUAGUUUUGUUGACGUUUAACUGCAUUGAUAUAAAAGUUUGUGAAGUUUUUGUAAAUGGAUGUUCAAGUUGAAGUAACUGUUCCUCAGUGAAAAAAUCACACCAAUUUCAACAAGUACCUUUCUUUUAAUUAUUGCAUCCACUUCUUGUUAAAGUAAUUUCCUGGUGGCUCUGUAUUGUACAUGUGAAGUGAAACAAGAUUAUUUCAGGGAAUAAUUUGCCAUCUUGUCUUCAAGUUGAUCACAAAUAUACAGACAAAAAUAAUAAAUACAGCAAAGGUUAUAUGCAACAAAUGCAAACAAACCCACAAAUGACUGAAAAAUUUGGCUUUACAUGGAUCUGUCUGCAGAAUUUCAGUUAGACAAGCCAUGUAGUGGAAAGUGUCUCACCUGUAACCUAUGAAAGUCUGCUUGUUUCUGUGAUUCAGAGCCCUGUCGCUAUGUGAGGAUUAAUCUGCAGAGACUGUUGGACCUGACUCUAAAAUAGAGCCAACUGGUAAGGGAAAGACUGCAAAAAGUCUGUCCUAAUGUGGACCGAACACUGUCCCCAACCUUUCCUCCAUGAUGGAUGGAGAGGAGCUGCAGGUUGACCACAGGUCAGCAUCAUCUCAGCUCUUUCACUGCUCAGACACUGCAGAGAAGAAACCAGGACAUGGAGGUUAACAUCUCAUGUCUCUGGUUCCAGGUUUGGUCUGAAUACAUCGCUCUUAUCUGUGACCUGUUCUCUGUAUUGAUUAUUUCUGCCCAUCAGUGCAGCAGAGCAGGUCCAAUCAAACCUUAAUGCACGGCUGGAAGUAAACUAACCCUGUUAGAGUCUAAAUUUAGUUCAUAAAAAGCUGCUCAGUCACAGCGGGGAAUGCUCUGUGUGGUACUCUGAGGUAAAUUCAGCCCCAAAAAAUUGAAAAAUAAAAAACUCUGUAAAUGUCUAACUAAAAACACUGUUAUCUGCUGCCAAUGAUCAGUCAGGCUGCAGUUUGGAGACAUCAGUUAUUCCCAGAGUGACAGUGGAAAUGUGGCAGAGGGAUGAACUGGCCUUUUUUUUAUAUUAACCUGAAAACAAACCAGAACAUAAAUAGACCACUGUUCAACAGGAGGGGUCUCAUUUGUUUACAGGCCCGACGGAUCACCCAAGAGCAUAUUUCUGUCCCUGUUGGUUUGGAAAGCACGGUGCUGUCAGCAGGAGACAUGGAUACACACUGAGCAGAAAAGAUGAUCGAUCCAUCGUGACAUGGGGAUUUUCAGUUUAGAGUCAUGGAUAAACUGUGACACUGUAAACUGUGGUUAACCUUAAGCAGCAUGAGAGUGCAAAAGUGUUUCCAUGUUUUUUGUUUGUUUGUUUGUUUGUUUCAGUUUCUAACUAGGAAAAUGGGCUCUAUUUUCGUGAGCCCAUCAAGAGAUGUGUGAAGACAGUAAUGCCACACGAUAGCGACAGAAGGCAGUUCCUCAACAAGUGUCGCAAAAAAUGUGUUCACCUAAACACUGACGCGUGGACACCAUUGGAACGCAAUAAGUUAUUGCAUAUAAAUUCUUGAGUUAUAAUUUUAUUUGAGAAUAAGCAGGUACCUUGGAUUCCCUACAUUAAUUUCCAAGGAGCUUUCCGGUCUUCAGUCUGUGUCAUUUGAAGUUGACUCUGAUCUGAUUUUGUGCACGACAAACAACACACCACUGUGCGUUGUUUUUCUGGCCAGUGUACACAGGGUCAUGGGAGCCGAUCAGCUCUUCUUGAGCAGUCAGAUGAAUUUCGAGCAUAUCUGCAAAUUUGGUCGGGUUACUGUACCCUCUCUCUCUCUCUCUUAUUCACAAUGAGGGCAGGGAUACAACCUGAUUUACCCAACUUCUGGUCUGCCAGUGUCUGAAAAUGCCAUGGCGACGGACUUCAAUUUUUGAAACCCUAAACUCUAAGACAAAACUACAAAGGAGUCGUAAUACAUACAACAGAGGCAGACCAGCAACAAUACAGACAAUACACUCUAAAUGAUCAAUGACAAUUUAAAUGAAAAGAGAUGUAUAAGAAUGUGGCAUGUCAGUGUAACUUCAAUAGUUAUUCAAAAUUGGGGACAUGCCAUCAGUGUGGGACAGUAUUUACUUGAGUGUUUCACAUUUAAUAGAAACAUGAUGGUAACACUAGAGUGGAGGCAGGCAGAGCAAAGUCCUCCUCUUCCCUCAUACAAGCAACUAUACUGUUGAAUUCAUAGUCUUUGUAUUAAACUUGUGGGACAUUUUGUAGGAGACACUGUCAAAGCUGCUUCAUGAUUUCUACAUGAUGUGUGAGUGCAUGAAUCAGCCAUGCAUUGUAAACAUUUCACUUUUACAGUGUGAGUUCACACCAUGACUGUUAAAAUCCUAAAUUUAAUACCAGGCCUCACAUAAACUAUGACCUGAACAACCAUGGGUUCCGAAAAUCUUAGCAAAUUCCACCUCAGUACUGUUAAAAAAAACUCUCCUCUUAAGUUUGUUUUCAGAUGACUUUCUGCUCUCAACAGUCUUGUUGCCAUAGUGAUGGAUUCCAUCUCCCGACAAACCACACCCCCUUUCCCCAUUUCCAAAAAAACAGUUACUGAAAAACCAUCAGAAACACUGGUUUGAGGGGGAGUUUAAGUGUAUUUACAUGCUGCUGGAAAUGCCAAAAACAUGACUGUGUUGUGUGCAUGAACACACACACAUACUCACACAGAAACACAAACAUGCAUGCACUCUCACACUCACACACACAAACACACGUGCAUUCACACACACACAUUCCUUUUCAUUUGCAGCUCUACUCAAUCCAGAUGUGGCUGUCGGACAAACACAGACUCUGAAUGGGUUUGGCAGAAAGUGUGUGUGUGCGUGUGUGUGUGUGUGUGUGUGUGUGUGUGUGUGUGUGUGUGUGUGUGUGUGUGUGUGUGUGUGUGUGUGUGUGUGUGUGUGUGUGUGUGUGUGUGUGUGUGUGUGUUUGUGUGUGUGAAUAACUGCAGAGAAUUUCUUGCUAUUUGACAGUAACUGCAAACAAUGGGUCUGACCUCCAAACUGCUGGCAGUAAAAUCCACAAAAAAACAUCCAACACUUUUAGAAAACACUCACCACCAUAUGCCUGAGGACUGUGUGUGUUUGUGUGUGUGUGUGUGUUUGUGUGUGCGUUUCUGCAGGUCUGCCAGGAACCUAUUAAUGACUCCCGUGCUGGCGGUGGCGAUUCUACAAAGCGAUGAAGGGGCCGUCGUUUCACUCUGCAAACUCCAGAGCUCCUAGAGGAGGCUCAGGACAAGGAGAGGAGGAUUGAGAGAGGAGAGAAGAGGAAAAAAUAGGUCACAGCUGUUCUCUAUCUUUUCCCAGCUCCCCUCCUCCCCAGCACACCCACCCACUGCAAGCUCUGCAGCCAACUGAACCCCAUCACACCACCCAACACACACACUUGGACCAUCUUCUGGGCCCCAGACCUCAAGUUUCAUGUGUUUAUUUUUUGGGUGCAGCAGGGGGGAUAAAGAAAAAAAAGAAACUUGCAUUCCAGGGGACACAUGAUCUGCUGGACAGAGGAGGAGAAGGAAGAAGAGGAGGAUGAGGAGGAGUAGGAGGAAGGAUUUCAUUAGGUGUUUAUCGGGGCAGCUUUGUGUGAGAAGCAGUGUCACCAUGUGGAAAUGGUUUAACUUGAUUUCACAGUAGAUCAGUUUAACUUGACUCCAGUCAGGUGGGUUUAGUCUGAACAUCAGAAAACACUGUGCUGAUUUUACUGUCUCAUCACUGUAAAAGUGGACUUUAUGAGUUUUAAGGGCUAUUCAAGUCCAGUCAAACUCAAGCAAAGGAAAUGCACAUUCACUCCAGAUGCUCCAAUAAAACUCUCAAGUACUUCUUUGACCUCAGCACAUCAAGUGGACAAAUAAAACAAAGCUUUAUUAUUCUUGGCAGCUGUGGAUUUGGACCCAUAGUGAGUUUCCACUGAAUCAGAGCUGCGUGAGAUGGGAAUGAACCAACAAUGCAAUAUCCUUUUUCUCUGGGAUACAAAUAAAGGAAACUAGAUAUCAGAUAAACAUGAUGAGUUUGUCGUUUGUGGGUCCAGUUUCAUUCAAGAAACAAUCAACCCCAUUUUAGCCAAUGGCUAACGGCCAGUGGUUUAACCCUUCGACAGUGACAGCAAGUGAAGUUAGCUGACAGGUGGAGAGUGUAAAGUAUGGGUGACGUUUCUUCAAAGCUAUUCUUAUUGACUUUAGGUUACAUUUAUAUUCUUGAAACACCAACUCCAAAAAGGCUGAGUAAACAUUGAUAAAAACAGACUUUUCACAAUUUCAGAACUUAGAGAGAACUAGAGAACCUAACUUGUUGUCAGCUCACAGUUCAAAUCCAGCAUCCCUGAUGGUUUGGGUGUCCAUGCCACAGGAAGCUUCCACAUCUGUGAAGGCUUCAUUGAUGCUGAACAAUAUCUAUGGCUCUGUAGUAGAAGAGUCCUGCUAUUACACUGGUCUGCCUGCAGUCCAAAAAUUAGACAAUGAAAAUAAGACAAAGGGGAUAACUAAGACAACAUUUACAUUUCCAAACUCUUAAAAACUGGUCUCCUGGGUUCUUAAAAGUUUACAGAGCAUUAAUUUGUAAAAUGGUGAACAUAUUGUCUUUGCACUGAUUUCAUUUUGGUUUGGAUUUGAAGGAUUUGAAAACCGGGUGCUGUGACAGUUACUCUUUAAAACAAAAACCUCACCAUCUUCAUCUGCCUGCGACUCACAGACCUCUUCACCUUAUAUGUGCUGCAGGUGUUACCACUCAAAGUAAACACUUGACUGCUCUGUUAACAGCCCACAUGUGGAACCACCACCACCAUGCACACAUCAGAAAGCAGCCUCAUGCCAAUGAAUGUCUACUUCUAUCACCCUUCUUGCAUUACCUGUGACAGCAACAGCAUCAGACUCAGAGUCAGGGUGAAUGGAGCAGGAAGGUUAGCAAGAAGAUGGAGAAGAGUUUGAGAGUGGUUCCUCAUUGUUAAAGCCCCCUCCCCCUUCAAACCACAUCCUCCAGUUCACACAGUCCAUUCCAAUGUCUAACAUAUGGGUCCUUGGCCCCCUCAGCUGGGGACUCUGGCUAACUGUUUCUCGGGGACUUCAGAUGGAGGCACUUUUUCUUUCCAUCUGUCCCCAUGUUUCUGUUGGGACUCUUUGCAUGCAUGCAUACAUGUGCUGCAGCACACGUACGCACAAACAUGUUUCACAGUAAGAUGCUAUUGAGAGCCUUUUCAAUGAGACACUGGACUCAGUUUCUAAUAUUUAAAUGCACCAACUCAGAAACAGAAAACUCAAAAACAAACAAACGAAACAUAACAAAACAUCAAAACUAGGACUCUUAAGUCCAUGGAAACACACAAAACAGGUUUCAUUCAAAAAAUGUCUACAGAUUUAUAAAUAUUAUGGUAUUAACAACUUAUUCCAGAUUCAUAAACAUGGCAGAAAACUCAUUUGAAUGUAGGCAUGUGUGUUUGUUCGUGAAUGCCAAUUAGUAGUAAAUAGACAGCUCUCUCCCGCUUGUCAGCAAUCGGCAUGUAUAAAUCCCCAACCAUGAAUAGCCAGUGAGCACCAUAUGACGACCCAUUUCAUAGUUCAUUUCUAGUGGGAAGCUCGAAUCUGUUAAUUGUAGACUAAAUUAUCAAAAAUUGUUUUAUUUUGAUUUAUUCAUUGGGAAGGUUUGGGGUCAUGCAUCAGCCAAAAGAGAUUCAAAUUGAGAUUUCUGAUAAUAUUGAUAAGCUUUAUUCAUAGGAAUUUUACAUGUAAACAGACAUCAUGUGCUUGUUUAUAUUUGAUUAUUAGCUACAAAAAGACCAGAGUUACUGAGAUAUUGAUGAUUUUAGGAAUAGGCCAAAAUAUCCUCCUGAAAACAGUUUUCACAGCAAUUCAUUGGCCCUCAUUUAUCAAUCUUGUGCAGAUCUGAGCGCAGGAUUCAUUGUACAAUAGGACACACGUGAGAUUUAUGAAAGGGUUCGUAUCUGAUCUAUCUAAGAUUUGGUCAUAGCGUACGCUCAUGUGCAGAUUGAUAAAUGCCAAUCCUCAUGUCAAAAAUUUUUGUAUGCAAGGUGUACGCAAGUUUUCUGCCAUACGCAAGCUUGAUAAAUGAGGGCCAUUGUGUCCAAAUUGUAUGUAUGACACUCAGUGAUCUUCAGGUGCAGCAGGGUCCAUUUUCAGAGGUCUGAAGCAGCUCGGGUUCAUUUUUACGACCAUUUUGGGAAAGAAGUCCGUAACAAUGUUCAGUAUACACAGAAUAAAUCACUAUUACCAGCUCUGUUUGCACACAGAGUGACACUGGCCUUCAUUUAGAGUCCAUUAUAUGUCCUUUGCUGAUUUAAUGUGGGACUGCAGCUGGAUUCAGACAGGGACAGGUUAUCAGAGAGUCCAGCUUUCUGAGGGGGGACCUGCACUUUGAGACACCUUUGAAGAUUUGUCACUCACUUCUUCAAGAAAAUCCCCCUCCUGUCUCUCUUUAUGCUUCUUUUAUUUUUUCCCUCGGUGUGUGUGUGUGUGGGUGUGUAUGAGUUUGCGUGUUUGAGUGUGUGUGUUUGGUCUAAGUGGUGGGCAGAGUGAGGUGGAUCUGGUUUCCUCCGCACCAGCUGCAAGGCCUGAGCUUUCUGAGACAAAGAGACAACCAUCCUGUCUCUCUUUCUGUCUGUUUUCCUCUCUCGCUCUUGUUUUCCCUUUCCCUGUUUCUGCUUUCAGACGGACAAACACUCCUCUGCGAUGACGCCAAAACAAAGACAUCGGAUAGCACGAAGCAGUCUGAUGCAGAAACUGAACUUUCCACUUACUUUCUGGUCCACACACAUACACACACACAAAAACAUGUAGGUGUGUAUGUGUGUGCAUGUUUUGAAAUCAGCUGGGAUUUUACACACACACAAAACGCGGUGUUCUUGUGCGUGCUGAUGGCGUGCAGAGACGAGAAAACAGGAAAUUGGUAGCAUCUCGUUCCCUUCUGUCAGCCUUCAGCUGCUAAUUGAGCAUAUGCUCCCCCCUCCAUAGUACCUCAUUAGAGAGGGGGAGAGAAGGGGGGGAUGAAGUGAUGGGAAGAGAGAGAGAGAGAAAAUAAAUGAUGACAAGAAAAAGAGAAGGGGAGGAUGUGAAAAUACCUUCAGGUAGUUAACUCCGCGUGGCUGUGAAUCUGUUUGUCUUCAGACUGACUGACACACACAUACACACACACACACACACACACACACACACACACACACACACUUAUAUAGCCCAAAUCUCAUUAUGUAUUUCAAUUUCCAUUUUGAUUUUAUAACACUUAAUUGCACAGCUGGGUUACAUGCUUGAUUCCGAUUGGUCGUUACAUAGCAACAGUAACAACAGUCUGUUCUUCCUCUACGGCACCCUGUUGCCAAAGACACCAACUUUAACCAGCUGAAUAUAAAUCCACAUACAGUGGUCCGGUUAAUAUGACAUUGGUUUGUUUUUAGAGGGAAAUCCAAGAAAAUCCAAGAUAAAAAUUCUGAAAGCCCACAGAGGAGAGAAAAGAGAGGAUAAAGACAGACACAUCAAGCUAACGGUUCUUACACACCGGGCCGACGCGAAUAUAGAACGCAAAAUUACGAAAUAUUACGAGGCGAAUUUUGACGUGCGUGACUAUGCACUUUAAGCCCGAUGUGAUUUUGUGACUUUCUCGGGGGGAAAAGACACGUCCCGGGUGGAAGCGAGAAGACUGACACAACACCAGACUGACUGUUUUUCAGUUCUGAUUAGACACUAGUGUUGAGAUGUCUGUCUGUCAUGAGAGCAUGUACUGAGUCGGGGCCAGUACCAGAUAAGACCAUUAAACUAUAAUCCAUAAAUGUAAGGUAACAACUGAGACCUAAUGGCGCUGUGACAGCAACAUGAUUGAGUUUGAGACAGUGAAAAUACAUUUGGUAUGUUGUAUCUGAACAGGUUAGCUAACGAGCUAAAGUUACUUAGCACAGAUGAAAGUUAAAACAAAGACAUUUAGCAAACUGUUAAAGCACACAAACUACUGUCAUAUGAGAAAUCUGACGCUAUGAUUCUCUGCAAGCUGUCCUUCAGGCCAUUAUCAUUAUAAUAUUUGUGUUUUUUAACAAAAAGCACUCUGUUCUGCGACACGUAAACAAUCAGCCAGUCUGACGUCACAAUAACACGCAAUCUGAUUGGUCAGAAGUGGACACACAGAAUGCGAAUCUAUAGAAAAAUCGACCGUCAUCCGAAAAAAUAAAUGCCGCAAUAUCGCAGGACGGAAGAACGUCGCUGAUGUGAACGCUUGUACUGACAGGAUACGGGUUCAAAAAAAAUAUUGACGUCCGAAAUAAUUGCAGGAAAAAAAACGGUCCCGGUGUUAAAGGACCUUAAUACUGAAAAAUACACAAAACAGGGGCAAAGCAUGAGUAAGCACUGAACAAGACACAGCAUGAGAUAUUACAAUUUUAUGUCAAGUAAACACUGCACAUGUCUUAAAAUACAUUCAACACUUUUUAAGAGAGUACAUUGGUCUGAAAUCUGCAGUAAUUCAAAACGAUUCUCUGUUGGUGUCAGAUAUACUGACCAAUCACAGUCCUUUAUUGAAGAUGAUGACACAGGAGGGGCUGUAAGUUAUCAAUAAGUAAUCGACUCAGAGAGCGGGGGAGUUUGUUAUUCAGGACUACACGCUACUUGCUCAGUUGCGUUUCCCUACCCGGUCACAGUAAUAACCAUUGUUCUAGUCUAAAUCAACAUUUUUUCAAAUUCAGGAAACAGUAAAACAUUUUCAGGGACAGCUUUAGCCGGGGAAAGGUAAUCUGAAACAGGGAUUGUCCCCAGAAAUUGGGGAUGUCUGGUCAAUCUGGUCCUGGAGUCUCUCUAUGCUUUGGCUCCGUGGUCAUCAGCCCUGACUGAGGGUGAUCCUGACACUUAACAUGCACUGACAUAUAAACGCUGUUUCUAGCGUUUACCAAGCAGUUUGUAAGAAAUGGAGACAAAGCAUAAAAGUUUCUGCCUCUGGUCUUAAGUAAAGUUUGAUUUUCAACACCAUGCAUAACUAACACAAACUGCACAUUUCCUCCUGAAAUAUUCUUUAUCGACCGUGUUUCAUCGUCUGUAUGCCCUGUUAAGUCUCAUAUAGGCUACAAAGCUGACACUUGCUCUUGAUUUAACAGAAAUAUAAAUCUGAACAGCCUUUCACUGCUCUCAUACAGAGCUCUGCAGGAACUUUAAUAUCUGAUCUAACAGGGUGUAAAAACUUUCCUGAACAUCUCUUCAUAAAUAUUCCAGCAUAUCCUCCUCUCCUGAGCUGUUUUUUUCUUCUUUAUCGUUGUCUCUUCGUUUCUCUGCCUGCCUCUUGUGAUUUAACCAAAUCUGAUGCAAAGUGGAAGUUCUCUCUGAGUCUCUCCAUCUCUAUCUGAGCCAUCUCUCCUCAAACGCCGUCUGAAAGGCGUACUAAAGCUCUUCUGAAGGCUCUCAAAUUGAUGCUUAAAUCUCCUGAAUCAUCGACGGCUCAGGACGUGGAGUAUUUAAUCUGCAGCCACCCGCAGGCCAAAGCUCGCCCUGCCAUAACAAACACAUCUCUCUCUCUCCCUCUCUCUCUCUCUCGCUGUCUCUAUCUCUCUCUCUCUCUCCCUCUAUAUCUAUCUAUCUCUCUAACUGCUCAUCUGUGACUCUCUAUCACCCAGAUUAUUGUUUCCUAUUCACUGCGGAUUUUCUUUGUCAUAAUAGAAACCUCCAUUGUUCUCAGCUGGCAUUUUGAGGAUGACAGUGUUAAAGAGCGACCCCAGAUCAGUUUAAAGAGGAAAAAGUUCUGACACUCUGAGGUGGGGAAAUAUGUAAAACUUGUAAAAGUGAUGUCUCCUCAAGAAUCCUCCCGUCUAAACUGCGAGAGCUCCUCUGUUUAUACUUAAAUUCCUACCAAACUACAGGUGCUCAGGCCUGGUUUUGCAAGGAUGCAAAAACAUGCAUUACAUCCUCAUUCCAAAUUGUUGCAACUUCAAAUCUGCACAUAAAGAGAGAAUAUUUUUGCAAUAUUUUUUUACAACUAAUCAAGAGUUUAAGUGACAACAGCGAGUCAGGUUGCAACACAACAGGGUUAACUUCAGUGAACCCCUGUAGGCUACAUUUGCAUAGGGUUCUUAAAGUAAAAGGGAUAGAUCCGUGAUUAACAAGCUAUAGAGACCCCUGAUAAAGUUGUCUACCUAGCUACCACUUUUGAAACAAAAAAAUCAAGGGACCACAAGCAGCAUCCAAAUCACCUUAUUUAUCCCUGUCACCGUUCACUGUAGCAUCCUCUUUUAAAACUCAGAUGUGCGAUGACUCAUUUUGAUGUUGACCCAGGUCUGUGCUUCACUAUGAACAGAUUUGGACAAUGUCUGUGCGUGUGCACGAUUAAAACAUAAAAAGCAGGUGUUUAUGAUCCAAACACAGGAACAGUAAAAUAUCCUCCUGCAGCAUUUCAGCGCUCCGAGUUCUGAAAUGUUUCUCAAAGCUGGUAGAUCGUUUCUGAUGCACACCGUGACCUAAUACUCCAGGGUGGGAUGUAUGCAUCGCUUAAUGCCACAUUUUGUUUUGCACAUGGGUAUUAAAAGCAUGUGUGGUGCUGCUUGUUUUUACAUUGGCUAUAAAAAGAUGCCUUCUCGACUUCCCGGGGCCGCUGGCAAGUCGAGUCGCUCGGAAAGGAUCAAGCAUGAGAAAGAGGCGAGGAGUUUGCAUCAUUCCUUUAAUCUGAGAUUUAGGAGGGGGCUGGAGAGAGGGCGAGAGGGGGCGAGGAGGAGAAUGAGCCAACAACAAAGAGAGGAGAUGACAGAGGAGAGAAAAGACGAGGGGAGACAAAACAAGAGAAUAACAAAGAAGAGAAAAAAAACAACUAAACAGCUCUUAAAUGAGCGAGGAGGAAUGUAAGAGCAUCUUUCUGAAACAGGACACACACAGAGAGCAAAGGCACUAAUAAUACACAGCACACAUGUACACCCGUCUGAAAAAUAGGGAUUUAUGCCUCCUCAGAGAGACUGCUGUUGUUUUCCUUUCAUUAAGUAGAUGUUAGUUCUGUGUUUUAAACUGAGAUAAUAUUUAAACAAGACUAUUUUACAGUUUCUCUGCACUGAGCUCAUAAAAUACCAACCAAGACGCCAACCCAGGCCCCUCACACCUCCCCUUCCUCCUCACCCUGCCAUCGCCCCGAGCUGCAGCAUAUUGAUCCUUCUAAGUUAAGAAACAGAAGGGUCUCAAAGAGGAGUCUGACGGGCGAUCACAGUAUCAGAGUGACAGAGCAGACAACCAGCAGCAUCCAGUCACAGCUCACUGUUGGAGGGCAGACAAACAUGAUGCCAGUCUCUACCUGCCACUCUUAACUCCACUUGUCUGUCAACUUCAACAGCCAGCAGCGCUGAAGCAGGCUGUGACAUCUAUUUAAGUGAACAGAGCUUUAACAUGUCCAUGUAGAUUCUCAUUCAUCCAGGUCAUGGUUAUCUUGAAGACUUAAAAGCACGCAACUCUACACAGUCCAGUUGCCUGUUUUUAAGUCUUCAAGAGAGCUUUAACAUGUAACCUGGAUUCACAUGCAACAAACACUUGAGCUCCUGAUCUAUACAGGAAACUCGUGGGGAUUGUGGCAUUUUGGUUUUAUUUUGGUGUGUUCCUGAGUUACUGUUUCUUGUGUGGAGUGUGUGUGUGUGUGUGUGUUUGGCCCAAUCCCAAACCGCCCCCUACACACUUACCCUACACACUCCCCCUCCGUUUGCGCGUCCCUGCAGAGGCUCUGCCAUAUUUGGGGCCAUCACAAACCACAGCGUGCGGAGAGUGAGUGGACCAUCCAGCCCUCAGAUAGCGAGUCCGCAACGGUGCACACUCGCAACAGGAUUUGCAGGUAGUGCGCCGGAAAAAAUGGAGAAGGAGGAAACAACAUACAAAUGUAAGUUCCGUAUGUGUCCAUCUUUGUCUCACUGACAAAAUAAAAACAAAAAACAAAACAAAACAAAAGACGUGAUUUGGAAAGAUCAAAUUAAACUCAAAAAUCUUACUCUGUGCUGAGGUUUGAUUUGAUUGUGCAGGCACAUGUCAAAUAGUAAAGGGGUUCAAAGACGUGUGGAAUCACUAACAAUCAGAAGUAUAAUUUAGCUCCUGUCACUGUAAUGGUUACUGGAUUUAGGAUUUCACUGGGACAAUGAAAAAAAACGAGAAAGCCAGUGUGGCUCAGAACUGUACAUGAUGGCUGUUUACUAAGAAAAGAAAUGCUGCUAUGCACAGGACGUGUCUUUGUGUUGCUAUGGCAUUGAAUCUUUUAGGGAUGUGCGUGGUUAUUCCGAUAUUCGUGUGAAUGGGGCUGUUCUUACUAUCCGUUUAGUAAAUAAUAUUUGUUUAUUCUGAAAAAAAAAAGAAAAAAGUGAAAAAAAAGAGCACAACUGUGCAUUAAACACGCUAAAAUGUGUGGAUCGCUUGCGUGCGGACUCUUUUUGCCUGGCUCGCUGCUCUGGGCUCGCAGCGCUGGCCUGCAGCAUGCAUGGCAUCAUGAGUUAACUUCCUCAGAGUGAAUCUCCACAUGCGAUCAGCCAGAGCGAUGUCGGUGAGAAUAAAGAGCAAAGUUUAAGUCUAGUUUAGAAAAUAAACGUUGUUGAACGUGAUGUUGUCUGACUCUGAAGACUCUUCAUUUUGUGCUCAUGGUGUGAGGCAGGCUGAUGACGCAGCAGGCUGCUUGGCGUUUCAAUUGAGGCGCACUCCAGAGCUGGGAGUGUAACUUCAUUACAAGUGAUACUCAGUUGUGAAGGGCGAGUAUGUAGGGGUCGGUUUGGGAUUGGGCCUUUUUCUUAGCAGAGACUGGGCAUUUCCUCCCUGCACCUUCACACCUGCACCUAAUCACUGCAAUCACCAGCUGCCCCUGCGGUGCCAGAUUUUUCCUACAUCUCAUGUGGUACAUUGGCCUACUCUGCUGGAGUCCUUGCGUGUUUUGCUACCUGUUGAACAUUGCCUAUUUUUGUGUGCAUCCCCUGUGACUUACUGGUGUCUUUUCUACUUUUCUUCCAGUGCCUCCACAAGCCCCAGUAAGAUUCGCCCAAUCUCUGCUACGCUGCCACAGUCUCUCUGAAAACCACUCACCUGCUUUGGCCACAAGCCCUCACACCUCCAGCCCUUAUUACUCCCUGGAUUCACUCCUCACGCUUAGGACCCUGGAUCCCUUCCCUCCAUUUUCUCCAAUCAAUAAAUUCUCUUCAAUGCUUCAUAUGCCUCCGGUUCUGCUUUUGGGUUCAGAAAAAGC
rnacentral:lncRNA from 1 species